UUGAUUUGCGAGCUGCAGUCAGGAGAAAGAUGCUUUUAUUGUUUUAAUUUGGAGAUUUUCUUCUCAGCCAAGAGUGAGGGAGCGCUACAUGUAAAGGUAAAUGUUGGACAAAAACAAGCAGUGUAAAUAAAGUAUUAAGGUAGUAAAUAUUAACAGGUAAAUGUACUUAAAGUAUCAAAGUAAUAUGUGACACGGAGGCCACUUGGAGAGAUAUCUGCUGCUGUACCAGUUGCUGAUCUUUAUCUCAUUAGAUGGUCAGUUAGCUCCAUCUAGUGGACAGAUAGUAGAACUCCAUCAUCUGAUGGGGGACUUCUCUCACACUGACUGGGUGUGUGGACAGGUUGGACUGGUUCUGACGUCUCUCUGACUCUGAAGUUAUGAACUGUGACGGCGUCUUCAGAUCAAAUGCACAUCGACACCAGGACUGACGAGGGCCAAUGAGCAGCUUCUUCUCUCCCAGAGUUUCCUCGACACAUGAAGGAGGAAAGUGUCUGGAAAGUGACCUGAAGAGACUUCAGCAGGUGAGGACUCUGCUAUGAGUCAGUGUGAGGACAGAGAGGAGGGAGCCCCUCCCUCUAAAACCACUCUGUGUGGGGACCAUGACAGCCAGACCAAAGCUCAGAGGAUGCAGCAACAGAAACCUGA